AAGCGAGUCUGAAUAGGGCGAUCAGUACGAGGGAGUAGACCCGAAACCCGGUGAUCUAUCCAUGGGCAGGUUGAAGCUCGGGUAAAACCGAGUGGAGGACCGAACCGUUGAAGGUUGAAAACUUCUCGGAUGACCUGUGGAUAGGGGUGAAAGGCCAAUCAAACCGGGUGAUAGCUGGUUCUCCCCGAAAUAUAUUGAGGUAUAGCCUCAGGUGAUGACUGACGGAGGUAGAGCACUGAAAGGGCUAGGGGCCCCACCAGGUUACCAAACCCUAUCAAACUCCGAAUGCCGUCAGUUUCCAGCCUGGGAGUCAGACUCUGGGUGCGAAGGUCCAGGGUCGAAAGGGAAACAGCCCAGACCGACAGCUAAGGUCCCAAAAUCCAUGCUCAGUGGGAAAGGAAGUGGGAGCGUAUAGACAGCCAGGAGGUUGGCUUAGAAGCAGCCAUCCUUUAAAGUAAGCGUAAUAGCGCACGGGUCUUAUGUUCGUGCGCCGAAGAUGUAACGGGGAUAAGCAUGGUACCGAAGCUCGGGGCGCGAACUUUGUUCGCGCGGAAGGCGAGCGUUCCGAUCGGGACUAAGGCGAAUCGUAAGGUUUGCUGGACUGAUGGGAAGUGAUUAUGCUGCCAUGA
rnacentral:rRNA from 1 species